GUGGAAACAUUAAAAAAAAAAAUAAAAAAAAAUGGAAAAGCAGUGAGAGCUGAGAGAUUGGGACUACCACAAUGGAUAUAAUGAUAAAGUUCUAUGGACACAUGAAAAUCUGCUCCAAAAUAAUGGGCGUGAUAUAUUUUUAUAUAUGCUGCUUGGAUUUGCAAUUCGGCUUGAUGAUUUCAACAAAUAGCCUACCAGUAUCUGUGAGAUCAUGAGUGAAAUAGUCCUAUUCACUUUGCAGUAUAAAUUAAACAACAUGAUUUCAAUAGAAAAAGACUGUGGAAUCAUAAUUGUUUUGAUGUGCAAUAUAAAAAACACAACAAAAAUUUAAUAAAAAGCUAUGACUAUG